AGGCAACGGUAUGGUUGA
rnacentral:siRNA from 1 species